rnacentral:rRNA from 1 species
GUAGGUGGCAAGCGUUGUCCGGAAUUAUUGGGCGUAAAGCGCGCGCAGGUGGUUCUUUAAGUCUGAUGUGAAAGCCCCCGGCUCAACCGGGGAGGGUCAUUGGAAACUGGGGAACUUGAGUGCAGGAGAGGAAAGUGGAAUUCCACGUGUAGCGGUGAAAUGCGUAGAUAUGUGGAGGAACACCAGUGGCGAAGGCGACUUUCUGGCCUGUAACUGACACUGAGGCGCGAAAGCGUGGGGAGCAAACAGGAUUAGAUACCCUGGUAGUCCACGCCGUAAACGAUGAGUGCUAAGUGUUGGGGGGGUUUCCCGCCCCCCUCAGUGCCGCAGCUAACGCAUUAAGCACUCCGCCUGGGGAGUACGGUCGCAAGACUG